rnacentral:rRNA from 1 species
UCUCGCGUCAGGAUAUGCCUAGGUGGGAUUAGCUAGUUGGUGAGGUAAUGGCUCACCAAGGCGACGAUCCCUAGCUGGUCUGAGAGGAUGAUCAGCCACACUGGAACUGAGACACGGUCCAGACUCCUACGGGAGGCAGCAGUGGGGAAUAUUGCACAAUGGGCGCAAGCCUGAUGCAGCCAUGCCGCGUGUGUGAAGAAGGCCUUCGGGUUGUAAAGCACUUUCAGUCGUGAGGAAGGUAGUGUAGUUAAUAGCUGCAUUAUUUGACGUUAGCGACAGAAGAAGCACCGGCUAACUCCGUGCCAGCAGCCGCGGUAAUACGGAGGGUGCGAGCGUUAAUCGGAAUUACUGGGCGUAAAGCGCAUGCAGGUGGUUUGUUAAGUCAGAUGUGAAAGCCCGGGGCUCAACCUCGGAAUAGCAUUUGAAACUGGCAGACUAGAGUACUGUAGAGGGGGGUAGAAUUUCAGGUGUAGCGGUGAAAUGCGUAGAGAUCUGAAGGAAUACCGGUGGCGAAGGCGGCCCCCUGGACAGAUACUGACACUCAGAUGCGAAAGCGUGGGGAGCAAACAGGAUUAGAUACCCUGGUAGUCCACGCCGUAAACGAUGUCUACUUGGAGGUUGUGGCCUUGAGCCGUGGCUUUCGGAGCUAACGCGUUAAGUAGACCGCCUGGGGAGUACGGUCGCAAGAUUAAAACUCAAAUGAAUUGACGGGGGCCCGCACAAGCGGUGGAGCAUGUGGUUUAAUUCGAUGCAACGCGAAGAACCUUACCUACUCUUGACAUCCAGAGAACUUUCCAGAGAUGGAUUGGUGCCUUCGGGAACUCUGAGACAGGUGCUGCAUGGCUGUCGUCAGCUCGUGUUGUGAAAUGUUUGGGUUAAGUCCCGCAACGAGCGCAACCCUUAUCCUUGUUUGCCAGCACUUCGGGUGGGAACUCCAGGGAGACUGCCGGUGAUAAACCGGAGGAAGGUGGGGACGACGUCAAGUCAUCAUGGCCCUUACGAGUAGGGCUACACACGUGCUACAAUGGCGCAUACAGAGGGCAGCCAACUUGCGAGAGUGAGCGAAUCCCAAAAAGUGCGUCGUAGUCCGGAUCGGAGUCUGCAACUCGACUCCGUGAAGUCGGAAUCGCUAGUAAUCGUGGAUCAGAAUGCCACGGUGAAUACGUUCCCGGGCCUUGUACACACCGCCCGUCACACCAUGGGAGUGG